AGUUGUCACUCCAGACCAUGCCCUAACUUCCUGAAUAAACGAUGGUUAAACGUUUGCCUUUGCUAACCCCUGGUGGCAACAAAAACGUUGCGUCAGGCCGGGAAAAGCCAGUUCGGCUGGAAAGAGAGGGGGUUAAUGGCCGGUACAAAGUAAAUUAGCCGGGAAUUUUGGCCGAUCUUGCGCAAAAGGGGAAGAGGGAAAACGCAUAUCGGUCUAAAACAAAGAGGAUUUUUAAGCGUGACUAUGCAAAAAUGAAGCGCACCCGCUUUUUGUAGGGUUAAAAGGAGAACAAAUGAGUACCGAACUGAAAUUUUCGCUCGUCACCACCGUCAUUGUGCUGGGAUUAAUUGUGGCUUCCGCACUGACCGCUGUUAUGCACUAAUU
rnacentral:sRNA from 1 species